rnacentral:lncRNA from 1 species
CUCGUGUGACUCCACCCUCUAUCAUGUACUGUAGUCUGAACGUGUUAGUAUAAUAUAGGAGUACACGUACGUAUUUAGCACCUCAAGUUCUACUACUACUACUACUACCGUACCGGCGGCUAGGUGCUCACUGCAUUGUUUGCCUCCUCUAGUUUCUAUUGGCAUGCACGUACUAUGGUAGCCUCGUUGCCUAGAUUUUACACUUUAUUUUACUUGUCACUCUGAUCCGUUGGGAAAGAAUAAUAGUAUAAUACAGUUCUGCAGCGUAGGAUCGAGUUAAAAUCAUGCAUUUUGUUGAGUUUGACUAGGUUUAUAUAGAAAAUAUAUAAGAAGAUUAGUGUUGUUAGAUUUGCCACAAAUAUCAUUUUGGUUAUAAUACCUAUUAUUGUUGAGAAAAAUAUGUCCAACAAAAUAUUAUGUGAUCUACCAAGACUGUGUUUUGAUUUUUUUUUUUUGAAAUUUACUUUAAACGGAACUGCAACAAAUAUAAAGAACACAAUUACAAUAAGAGUUAUUUGUAGUUAUAAAUUAUUAUUAUUUUAUAGGGAGAAACAGUUACAUUGUUUCAAACGUAUAGUCACAAUUGCAUAACCUUUAAUGUACAUUACAUCUACACCACGCACCACGCAUUGAAUUCAAUAAACGUUCGUGAUGAUCAUCAAACGUAGUACCGCCGGUGGCGUCAUGCUGCGAUACGUCAUCAUCUGCUGAGAUGACGUAGGGAAUAAGGCCGGCCGUGCAUGCGUCGGCCCGAUGGAUACGCAUGCAUACGCGGCAGAACGUACGCACGACACGAGCAGGCGAGAGUAGUAACAAAGUGAAUGGUGCGGCGCCUCGUAUUAGAGCAAAGCUAAUAAUGUAGCUCUCUCUUUUAACUUAGUAUUUAGUUGGCUUACACAGUUUAUUAAAAUACUUGCUCUUAUGUACACGGCGGAUGAUCCGUCCACAAAUUCUCUCGUUCUCCCGGUCCGUUCGUGGGGAUUCAUGGCACGUCUACUUGCUCCCGGAGCCUUUUUCGCUUUUUUCUAAAAAGCCAUGACUGAUGUUCAUGAUUUAUUGUGAAAAAAACAUUGUUAAUUGCUAGAAAAAAUACGACUUAUAAGCACCUACAAUUGCAGUGUGGGUAUAAUAUAAACAUAAUAUAAGUACCGUAACUUGCUGAUUGUAUGAGCACUCUGGCUGACGGAGUACAGGAACCAGUACACUAGGACAGGUUCGUAGUAGUUUGCAGUGGCAAAGCAAGCAAAUUAGAGG